UAGUAUUUCCGCAUGGUUUCACUAUUAAAGAAUUUCGGUUAUCGAUGGGGAUGCGUUCCAUUAGAUAGUUGGCGGGGUAACGGCCCACCAAGUCAACGAUGGAUAGGGGUUCUGAGAGGAAGGUCCCCCACAUUGGAACUGAGACACGGUCCAAACUCCUACGGGAGGCAGCAGUGAGGAAUAUUGGUCAAUGGACGAGAGUCUGAACCAGCCAAGUAGCGUGAAGGAUGACUGCCCUAUGGGUUGUAAACUUCUUUUAUACGGGAAUAAAGUGGAGUAUGCAUACUCCUUUGUAUGUACCGUAUGAAUAAGGAUCGGCUAACUCCGUGCCAGCAGCCGCGGUAAUACGGAGGAUCCGAGCGUUAUCCGGAUUUAUUGGGUUUAAAGGGAGCGUAGGCGGGUGCUUAAGUCAGUUGUGAAAGUUUGCGGCUCAACCGUAAAAUUGCAGUUGAUACUGGGCGCCUUGAGUGCAGCAUAGGUAGGCGGUAUUCGUGGUGUAGCGGUGAAAUGCUUAGAUAUCACGAAGAACUCCGAUUGCGAAGGCAGCUUACUGGACCGUAACUGACGCUGAUGCUCGAAAGUGUGGGUAUCAAACAGGAUUAGAUACCCUGGUAGUCCACACAGUAAACGAUGAAUACUCGCUGUUGGCGAUACACAGUCAGCGGCCAAGCGAAAGCAUUAAGUAUUCCACCUGGGGAGUAC
rnacentral:rRNA from 1 species